rnacentral:rRNA from 1 species
UAGGAGGGAAAAAUGGAGNUAGAGAGUAAGCGGUUCAGGCUGAAAACCAUCUAGGAUGGCGGUUUUUUUUAUUAUUAGAUAGAUGUGUUUUUCAAACGAAAAUACACGACCAUCUUUCUUACCUUUGAAUAAUUCAUCCUGUACACCGCCGUCUGAAGGGUCAGUGGGAAGAGCUAACCCCAUUUCUUUUACAUCAGAAAUAAGUCAGGUAAGGUGCAGACUAUGGGUAAGAGUAAAUGCAUUUCAUUAAAGCUCAAGAAGAGCAGUUGAAAGCCCUCUUCAAGAAGAAUUUAAUAGUAAAGAUUUUUUUUAUUAUAAAAACUUGAACUAAUCCCAAAAAAAUGU